rnacentral:lncRNA from 1 species
UUGGUUCUUCAAAGUAUGCCCAUGUGAAUUCUUAAUUAUUCUGUGCAUCAUAUUAUAAUCGGGAUGGUCCAACCGGUCAUGCCAAAUGAUAAAAUCAUUAGAAUCAGUAAACCUUUUGUUUACUACGACAUGUGAUUCAACCGUACUAAUAUUUGUAUGGUACAACCCAGAAGAAAGUGCAGGUAAUUUUUCAUGCAAAAGUUUCUUCUCCGCAUUUAUUGUAGUAAUAUAAAGGUAUUCAACCUUUCCUUCAUUCGUAGUCUCAACAUGAUAGCUAUUUUGGCGAAUAACCUUGAAACUUAACAAGUUUCUAUGAGACUUACUACAAUACAAUGCAUUAUCAAUUAUCAAUAAUGUUCCUCUAGGUAGUAAUAAGGUCGCUCUUCCAGAGCCCUCAAUCAAUUUUGUACUACCAGAUAUUGUAUUAACAUAUGCCUUUUGCAUUAUUAAAUGAGAGAAAUAUUUUUUUUCUCUUAGUAUCGUAUGAGUUGUGGCACUGUCCAGAAGACACAUAUCUCCAUUACUCAUCUUGGAUCCAACUGAAGACUAGGAAAUUUUAUUUAUCUUCAUAAAAAUAAAAAUACAUAAUAAGAAGUACGAAACUUAAAAAAAGAAAAUUUAAGUACAUGAACUUCAAGUAAGACAUUAAAAACACAUAAUAUUAUUCAUUUCCCAAUUCAAUUAUCAAUCUUCAAUCCAGUUUAAUUAUCAAUCUUCAGUUGCGAUCCCCGAAGAAGUCCUCAGCUUCUAGAUGAGUAAUAUCAUCGAGCACAUCAAAAGCGUCAUCUUUCAAUGCUAAAUUCGCCUCAACAUUCUCAUCAUAUUUUUUAGAAGACCCUGUCUGAGCAUCAUCUUUGAGAGUCAAAUGUGACUCUACUCGGGCAUUAGAAGAGGAGGCACCACAUUUAUUCCCUUUCCUUUUAAGGAAUUUUGAUACAGCCUGACAAAAUGCUCAGGUGCCCGACAUUCAUUUUUCCAGUGACCUUUAAGGCCACAACGAUGAUAGUGAUCGCCCUUGCCUUUUAAAGGAUUAUUUUGAGAACUCAUAUUGUUCUCCCUUUUGUUAUGAUUACCACCUCGACGAUUAUUAUAUCGUCUUUUGCCUUUGCCACGUCCACGCACAUAAUCAUGGCCCUGAUUAUUUUGUCUUAUUUCAGACUGGCCGUGUGCUUCUACCCCAUGGGCCUCCGGUAAUGGAGCACUUCCAGUGGGACGGGCUUCAUGAUUUUUCAUCAAAAGGUCAUUAUGCUGCUCAGCCACCAGAAGGCAUGAGAUUAAUUCAGAGUAUUUUUUAAAACCCUUUUCACGAUAUUGCUGCUGUAAUAUCAUAUUGGAGGCAUGAAAAGUAGUUAGUGUCUUUUCCAAUAUGUCCUCAUCUUUUAUAACUUCCCCACAUAAUUUUAAUUGGGAAGUGAUUCUAAAUACAAUAGAGUUAUACUCAAUUACGGUUUUAUAAUCUUGAAACCAUAAGUGCAUCCACUCAUAACGACCCCUUGGCAAUACAGUUGCCUUGAGGUGGUCAUACCUCCCUUUCAAACCUAUCCACAAUUCAAGUGGAUCUUUCACUGUUAAGUAUUCAACCUUCAGACUUUCAUCAUGAUGAUGACGAAGGAAAAUCAUAGCUUUCGCUUUAUCCUGACUUGAUGCCUUAUUUCCUUCGAUUAUACAAUCACCAAGACCCUUAGCGGUAAGGUGAAUUUCAGCAUCAAGUACCCAUGAUAAAUAGUUCUUUCCAGAAAUGUCAAGUCAAGCUUUGAUAAAUUCGACAUGAUGAAAACUAUCAUAAAAUAGUUGAGUUAAUAACAUGAUUUUGAUUUCUUUAUAAUGAAAGAUAAAUUAAUAUUUCAAAUGAUUAAGAAUUAGUAUAAAAUUUAUUAUAAGUUAAAGUAGAUAUUAACGCCAUUUUUUUUGGUGAGUUUCAAGUCAUAUUUAAUACAAUAAUAUUCUUCUUUAUGACACACCAAUAUACUUAUCAUAAUGUAUGAAAAUACUUACGAGUUAUUUUAACUAGCAUGCUAUCAUAUUACUUAGUAAUUAAUUUAGAGUUAUAAGUUAGUAGCAUAUAAAUAACAUAACAAUAUAAACUUGAAACGUAUUGAUUAUUAUGCCUAGUAAAGUAUCAUAAUAAUAGCUAAAUCAACUUAUAUAUGCAGCUAUUAAAUUAUCGAUCAAAGAUUUAUGCAAUUCCUAUUAGAGGUGUUAUAAACAUAUAAAUGUAUACCUGACUCUAAAAGAAAGUUGAUUAACUUUUAGAAUUUAAUUUCGAAUUAAGUAGAUCUCAGUUGGUUAGAGACUCGUGCUGAUAACGUGUUGUAAAACAAGAGGAAAAUGCAAGAAUACUUAAACAAGAAAGUAAGGCAAAGUGUGAUGGAAAGUAUAAAGUUGAGAGCCUUAUUUUAAUCUCUUCAAUUGUGUAUUUCUUAAGGGUGAAGAAGACCCUUUUAUAAGAGGUAAAAAUCAUUCGUUUACUACCUUAACCAAAAUACGUUAGUAAUCUUUAAUUCUUACAUUAAAUUAAUACAUGCAUUACGUUAGGUUGAUGAAAAGAAACAUCCAUAUUAAAUGGAUUUGUAACAAAAAGAUAGUUUUAAAAAAAAGGAUUUUGUCACAUCACGAGAGAUUAGUAGUCAAAUUUGUUUUUAUUUUAAACAAAUCAUCUUGAAAAAUUAAUUUCCACUUCUAUUUUUUGUUAAAACUUAUAUGUAACAACAGAAAAAUAGCAAAACAUAAUAACAAAAAAAAAUGAUCACAUCAUGAGAGAUUAGUAGUCAAAUUUCAAUAAAAAUCAAGAGAAAAAAAAAUUAAUUGCUUCUUUGAAUUUGGAUAAGUUAGCUCGGCAUACCGAAAUUAUUCCAUAUUUGUGAUAAUGACAAAAUAAAUGUACUUGAAUGAAAUAUUUAAGUUGAUCAAAAUAUCACGAUAAAAAAUAUAACGUUGAUUUUUAAAAUAUAUAUCCCUAUUUAGUAAUUAUUUUUCUCUCAUCAAAAACCCAAAAUACAGUUAUUUUUUUAAUCUUUCGUUUUAAUAUUAUAAAACUCUAUUAAAUAUAUUAUUAUUAUAUUUUCGAUCUCGAUGCCAAUAUCUAGUUGCCAGAGCCUAACAUGGAUAUUGAUCUAAGAACAGUUGCGUUGCAACUUGUGUUUCAUUGUCUUUUUGAUAAUGUUAUUUGAUUGCUACCAACAAGGGUUUGUGGUGGAGUGGUAAGUACUCCUUCAUCCUUAAUCAAGGGGUUUCGAGUUCGAAUUCCCUUGGGUACGGAGUCGCCUUUGUUAGGGAGCGUUUUACCUCCAAUGUGGGACUUUCCAGUGCGAAUUCGGAUAUAGUCGAGCUCCAACGUAUGUACCAGAUAUCGGAUGAGAAAUAAAAAAAAAAAAAUGUUAUUUGAUUGCUACUUUUCCUCUUAAAAAAAUAUAAAUAAAUAAAUCCAGACAGCAAGUCACUAGUCAUGGAUGAAAAUAACAAACAAACAAAAAUAUCAACUUAUUUAACACCAAUAAUGCUUAUCAAUUAGAUAUUAUAUAUUAUAUACUACUAUUAUAAGAUAUCAAGAAUAUUCAAAGAGGUUAUAAGAAAUAUAAUUAUAUUACAAGAACUAUAUAUAUAUACUAGUAUAGCUAAUUUACACGGCAUCGACGGUGAUUGGUUAACUUAUUCUCAAUAAAUUAUAUAGAACUAGAAGCUGACGUACCGAUUCAAUCAAAUUUAAUAAUUUUUAGAACAAAGUUUAUAUUUUUGUAAUAGUAAAUUUAUUAUAUAUAUAUAUAGAUCUAAAUUCAACUACUUAUAAUUUGAUCUUAUUAUUUAAAUUUUGAAAUUUAUAAAUUUCAAAUUCUAAACGGAUCCUUUCACCAUUAGUUUUUAUUAAUAUCUUUUGUGUCUUUCGAAAAAAAAGUCGUAUUAGAUUUAAAUUUUAAACGGAGGAAGAUAUCAAGCAAUGUAUCUGGCCAUGUUCUAUUACCACUUACUUAUUAUUUAAUUAAAUUUUAAGUUUUGCCUUAAAAUUUACACUUUUGAGGAAAAGUCGAAUGAAUUGGCCUUUAGGAUUAAGUUAACGUUUGAUCAUAUAUUUUUAAAUAUUUUUGAAAAAAAAUAGUUUGGGUGAAGUUUCAAUACAUGUUUUGGUCAUAAUUUUUGGAAAAUAUAUUUUACUUUUUUUUAAAAUGAAACAUAAUUUAUAUAUAUAAAUUUCAAAAAAACUAUUACAAAUAUUUAGAAGUUUGACAUAAUUUUUAUAAUGAACUAGAUAAUAUGCUAUUUAAAAAUUAUAAUACGAUAUUUUGGAAAAAAACUAAUAAUAAUAAUACGAUUAUCAUCUAUUAUAUUUAGUUACAAAGACCAUCGACGCAGAAAGAUAAAUGAUAAUGAUGGUAUAUAACUAUCUUUUACUAUAAUAUUUUCAUAUUCUACAAAUAAUCUUUUAAUGAGAAUGCGUUUAAUGAGUAGUCGGGUAGCUAGAUAGAAUUAUAGUUGAAAUCAUAAAGGAUGAUUUAUUUAUUUAUUAUAAAAUAUAAAUAUUUAGGGUGAGUUUAAAAUUUUAAAAGAAUUGAGAAACUAGAAUUUGGCCCCAAGACCAUUUUUUCCAGAUUUUGGGGUCUUGUGUUUUUUUUCCAAUUUUUUCUUUGACAAAUUUUAUGACUCUAUUUUUUUUCAAAAACUAUUUGCAAGAAUUAUGACUAAACGGUCCUAAGACACACGCAACCUUUUAAUUUGUUUUAUUACUCCCUUUUAUUUAAUUUAUGUGUUAUCGUUCAAAUUUUGAAAGUCAAAUAAUUUUUCGAUAAAUAUUUGACGAUAACUAGUUCAAAUAAAAAACUCAUACGGCGAAUAAUUCAUGUAUGAAACUAAAAAAUUGAUAUACUUUAGGUGUAUGAGUUUCUUGUUUGAACAAUCUAUCAUCAAAUAUUUAUCGAAACAUAUCCCAACGAGUAUUUACUUUUCCUAGCUUGAAAUAUCACCAUUGUUCAGAUAGAAAAAAUGAACAACUGAUAACUACAAUAUGAUUCUAUAAACAUUUGAUGAUAUUCCAGAUAAAAGAAAUAUCGUACACAUAAUAUUUCAAUAUAAAACUCAAAAAUCAAAAUAUUGGUAUUGGAUAUUAGGUGAUAUAUAUGAAGUAUCUUCCUCUACUGCUCCCUCAAAGGUCCUUAAAUCGUGCACUCAAUAACUUCCCAAAUAAACUAAAACUUGAAAAAGACAAAUAAUAAAUUAGAAAAUUAAUCUAAAAACCAAACAGUUGUAAAUUGAAAGUGGCUGGUGAAGAAAAGAGAAAGUUAAGUAAAGAUUCUAAUUAGAAAAAAAAAACAAUAUAGUAAUAAUACGUUCACUUCAUCUGUCUAUUCAUGUGUGGUCCAUUUAAUGAAUUUGGUUGUAUUUUGACAAUGAUAUAAAGGGGUUAUUCAAUUUCACAAUUUAAACACUAUACUUCAUCCAUUUCAUAUUACUUAACUUAUAUCGAUCUGAUACAUUCUUUAAAAAUAUAUAGUAUGAUUAACGAUCCAACUUAAUUUCAAAACAAUAAAAAUUGUGAUAGAGUAAUAAAUAUUAUUUCAUCCUUAAUCAAAAGAUCUCGAAAACGAAUUCCUUUAAAUAUAGAAUCGUCUUUAUUAAAAAGAGUUUUAAUUUUAUAAAACUUCAAUACAGAUUCGAUAAAGAUAAAUAAUUUAAUCCAUAAAUCCAAGUAGGUCUUGUAUUCAAUGAAGCAAAAUAUAGACCACCUACCGUUUGAUUGAUUAGGCAUAGCAACUUAUCUAUAUUUGGGUGUAAAAAGUCCACGUAAAUAAAUUUCUCAUCAUAGAUUCAAAAUUAUUUUGUCUUUGGGCAGAUAAGAUUCACAAAAAUUUUAAAAGAAGUGUUAGCUGCAAAUAUUACGUUUAUUAGAAAUUAAUAAAUAUAAUAUAUAAUUUACUAAAAUUAUAUAUAUUAAUUAAAUUUCUCUUUAAAAUUAAACAUCACUAUGAAGAUGAAAAAUUAGGGUAUAACUGAAAAAUAUACUCUUAAUUUUAUCUUGAAUUUGUAAGAUAACACUUUUUUGGGAUAAAAUAAUUUUGCUAACGUAGGGAGCUGGGAGCAAUAUGUUAAGUAAUAAGAGGGUUGUUUAGUUCAUGGGCGAAGUUAAUUCUUAGAUUAUAGUUUAAAUUGGGACAAAAUUAGGGGUGGACGUUCGGUAUUCAGUUCGGGAUUAUUAAAUUUCAGGUUUGAUAAUUCGGUAAUUGAUAGUUAAAAGUAGAUAUCAAAUAUCAAAAUUUUAAAUUUCGAUUCAGUAAUCGGUAAAUUAAAUUUUGGUUUGGUAUGGUAUUCGGUUAGACCGUAUUGAAGUUGUAGCCGAUUGUAUUACAAAGUUAAUUACUAUUUUUCCAAUCAUUUCUAAUUUUUUUUAUGAGGAUACACGAUAUAAUAGAAGAUCAAUAAGUAAGAAGACAUCAAGAAAAAUAAAUUGAUACAACUAAAAGACAUGUAUUUGGGUUGUUUAUGUUCAUUCUUUAACUUUUUUCUUUGGACUUGUAUUAAUGAGUAAUGAACAUGUUGAUACAUGAUUUUUAUUAAGUAAAUAAUUCGGUAUUCGGGAAAUACCAAAUAUCAAAUGGUACUAAUGUCUUAAAUCAAACCCAAAUUACCCGAAUACCAUAAUUCUAUAAUUUUACUCCUGAAUACCCAACCAAAUACCCAAGUACCAAAUUAUCAAAAUAUUUGGUUUGAUUCGAUAAUUCGAUUUUUGAUAUUUUAUGUCCAGUCCUAGACAAAAUAAGACUAUUUUAUCUUUAAUCAAACAAAGUGUUCCUUCUGUUUCAAUUGAAUUAUUCUGUUUUGACUUUAUACGAAAUUUUAAAAAGUAAAAAAAAAUUGAAUCUUAUGAUCUUAAAUUAAAAAUAUGUAAAAUAUGUCAAAAUAUUCAAUUCACAUGUCUUUCUUGGUUGGAUAAAUAAAUUUAUUUUCAGCAAUCAAAUUGCGAUCCACUUUCUACGUUUGCUGAGUAGACCAUGCCUCUUGCAUUGAUGACUUUGGCCCUCCGUUGGCUUUAAUCGAGGAAAACAUGGAUCGUGAUUAUAAUAAAAAAGAUGCAGAUGGCAUCUCUUAGGAAAAAAUAAAAUAAUCACCAAUGAACUAAUACUUGAUACUUAAAUAAAGAAGAAACUAGAAAGAAAUUAUUUAUACGCUAUUAUCAACCAAUAAAUUCAGCAACACUAUAAGCAAUGAAACUUCCGUCUCAUUUACUUGCCUGAUGAAUCAAUCCCUAAGAAACCCCCAAAAGGGCUUCCAUCUAAUGGGUACACGAAAAUGAUCAAAAGAAUGAAUGACCAUUAGAGGAGGAAUAGCGAUAUAAAUUGAUUUCGUACUACGUUUUCUAUCUUCACACAAAAAAAGAGAUAUUUCUUUUGAUAAAAACUAAAAAAAGAAGAAGUUAAACAAACAAAUUAAAAUGAACGAAAUACAUAAUUUAAUCUCAAAAAACCUAUCUAUGUGAACCAAGUAACCCCUAACAAAUUGUAAACAUGGGUAUGGGUCCCAUUCAUCCAAAACUAAAGUUAAACCGUCCAAACCAAUUUUAUGAAUCUGUCAGUCUAUCAAUGCACUUAUCUUUGGGCUUGGAUUUGAUGCUUUUGUGUUGAAAAGUCUCCAAUUCUCAUCUCUGAUGCCAUCUCCUAAUCUUUUAGAAUUAUAGAGUAUGGAGCAUGGGGUUCCUUGUCCUUUAUCAUCUAGUUGCUACAACAUCAAUGUAUCAAACAUAAUUUGGGAAACUAAUACAAAUUUCACUAGUGUAGGAGCUAAUUACUUAGAUAUACGCUAGUUUGCAAUAUUAUGAAUCUCAUCAGAUUUUGGUGCGUCCAUGUCCAGAUACAUAUAUCUUAGGAUAUUUAUGAGGUCAAAAUUAAGAGUAAUGUGUUCUAGACUGUAUCCAAUUGAAUCUGCAUGUAUUUGAGAUACAUAACAAAUCUCGCUCGCCACUCUCACAUGUAUCUGGUAUCUCAUAUGCAUGCGAAUUACACCAGGUACAUAUAAAUACAUGUAUCUAGUGUGUAUUUGGUGUGAUUCGCAUGCAUCUGAGAUACAUGACUAUCUCGCUCGCCUCUCUUCUUUAGUGUAUUUCAUGAGAACAAAAAUGCAUGUAUCUAGGUGUAUAUUCCGCAUUAUUUGACAGAAAACUCUUAAUUAAUAAUAAGAUACGUAAUUAUUUUGAAAUAUAGAUAAAAUUAAUAUAGGGAAAAGGGACAAAUAUACCCCCGAACUUUUGUAAAUGGUAUGCGUAUACCCUUCGUUAUACUUUUUAGGACGUCAGUAUCCUUGCCGUCCAAAUUUUGGAGCAUAUAUACCCUUUAAGUUAACGGUGGUACACGUGUCUCGAUCUUAACCACUGACCUAAUAUUUGUUAAAUUUCUAGACCCAAAAUUAAAAAAAAUCCACCCGAAUUAAUUUAGAAACCCGCCCAAAUACAUAAUACCCAUAACACAAAAAUAUUUAACCAAAAUCCCCCAAAUCAAUUCACUUAAUUUCAAAUUAAGCAACUUAAACACUUGUUUAGCAGCAUCUUUCCCCGUCUUCAUCCCCAAAUCAUCCUCAACACUAAGGGGCCGUUUGGUUACUGUAUAAGUUGCAUUUUAUCCAUGUAUAAAAAGUUGCAUUACUUUUACCAUGUUUGGUAGAAAUUUUGUAUUAGGUGGAAAAGUCAACAUAACUUAUAUCAUGUUUGGUUGGUAGAAUUAUAAAUGUUGUAUAAAAGUUAUUCAUGUAUUAAUUUUAUACAGUGUUUGGUUGUGUUUUUUGUAGUCCUACAUAAUUAAUACCAACAUAACUUAUGAGGGAAUCUAUGUAUAAGUUAUGCAGGGUAGAAGGUGGAAUAAGUUAUACAGGUAUUAGUUAUACAUGUAUUAAAAUAGUAAAUUACACAUUUACCCUUAUUGAUUUAUUUUUAAUUAUUUUCAUUGAAAAUGUUAUCCAACUAUGCUAUUUUCCUAACUUUUUUUUUAAUUACACGAACAACUUUUUUUUUCUGUUUUCAUUUGAAAUCCAAAUGUAAUAUUUUAUUAAUAUUUGAAAUUGAAUUGUAUAUAGCGUUAUAUAUUAUUAAAUAUAUUCCACUUAUUUAAUUGACAUGUAUUAUUAUUUUAUUUAGGAUGUGAAUUUAUACAUAAUUCAUAUAUUUGGUAUAUUAAAACUGUAUAAACAAUAUAUACAACAUAUUGAUAGAAUAUUUACAUUAUAUAAAAAUAGGGAUAUUAUAAUGUACUUGAAAUAUAUUAAUUGUAUUUUAUUUUUAUAGGUUAUAAACAUAAAAAAAAUAACAAAAUGAAAAAAUAGCAGUCCUAAUUAAGUAUAGAGGGAUAAAAAAAUUUCUUUACUUUUUAUUCAAAAAAAGAGAGAAUUUAUACUAUUUGCUUACUUAUUUAUUUAUUUGUAAGUGAUAUAUAUUAAUUUACAACAAAUUCAAUAUUUAUUAGUUAAUAAUUUGUGCAUUGUGAUCUCUACAUAAUUAAAUAAUGUAUGCAUAACUAAUACUUGCAUAACUAAACCCUGCAUAACUAAACCCUACAUAACUAAUACCUGCAUAAUUAAAUCCUGUAUAACUAAUACCUGCAUAACUAAAUCCUGCAUAACUAAACCCUACAUAACUAAUACCUGCAUAACUCUAACCAGUAACCAAACGGCCCCUAAAUCCCCAACAAUUUCUCCUCAACUGUCUCAUAGAAGAGGAAGACCCAUCCAAACAAGCAUAAAGACUGAUACUAGGAUUUGGUUAAGUAGUAGGGUUAGAUUUGUUUGGAGAGAAGAGGUGAAUGAGAAAGAGAAGGAGUUUUGGGGUCGGAGUAGAAUCUUAAAUUAGGUGAUUUUUUUAAUUUUUUUUUAAAACAAACUCAGAAUAUGGAAAAAAUAAAUCAACUCAUAGAAGAGUUAUUCCUCAAAGCCAAAAUCAACAGCAAUUGUCAAUAGUCGUUAUUCUACCAGCAUUCCAAGAAACUAAGUACCAUAGUUGUCUUCUUGAUAUUUAUAUAAAACUCAACUUUUACUUCCCUAAAUUUCUCGAAUAAACUGAAGUAUCUACUAAUUUACUAAAAUCUGAGUUAUCCAAUCUUAUCUUUGGCUUCUCCCUCGAAUCAUCUUGGAAAAAAGUUGUAUUUAGAUGGUCUGUCUCUUCAUGAAUUGUGGAAGGGGAGAUCUUAAGGCGUGUCGGCCUUCUUGGCUAAUGAUUUAAAAUGUUUUGUGUGUUUCUUCUCUGUUCCAGCAGAAGGCUUACUGCCAAGUUGAUGAGCUUUUCCUUUCUUCUUGUGCUCAUUCACAAGGGACAUAGGCAAAUUACUUCCAUUCAUUAUGAUAUUGUAGUUGCUAGAAAGCCUAUCCUGGAUCUCUUCUCUAAAGGAUUCCAAUUUCUCCCGAGUAUUGAUGAACCAUCGGGGAUCUGGCUGUAUCCUCGUUAACGGAAGCUGCUUUGAUUGAUACUCGUGCUUCAAUAUUUUGCCCUUCCGAUCACGCUUCGGCCUACAAUUAUACAUCUUCAGCCGCCGUGUAGUGGCGGAGCUACGGUUGCCACUUUUGUUCUUCUCCCUUAGGUGAAUUGAUUUGGGGAUUUGAGUUACUAUUUUCGGGUCAUGGGUAUUAUGUAUUUGGGCGGGUUUCUAGAUUAAUUCGGGUGGAUUUUUUUAAUUUUGGGCAGAAAUUUAACAAAUAUCAAGUCAGUGGUUAGGAUCGCGACACGUGUACCACCGUUAACUUAAAGGGUAUAUAUGCUCCAAAAUUUGAAUGACAAGGAUACUGACGUACUAAAAAUAUAACGAAGGGUAUACGCAUACUAUUUAUAAAAGUUCGGAAAUAUAUUUAUCCUUUUUCCCAUUACUAUAUUAUAAUAUAGAUAUAUGUCUAAUAAAAUAUAUAUUUUUCAUUUAAUUUCAUAAGUGAGAUUUCAAAUGAAUGACCUAUAAGUAACAAAAAUAUUUUUGACAUACAAAAAAAAUAAACAUGCAAAGCAAUUAUCAUUUACCUACUACUCUAGGUAAAAUACAAAUUAUUCCCACUUCAUUGAGGUGUAACAUGUGAAAAAAUGGCCCCAUUUAAGGGUGUGCUUGCUUGUUUGGUAUAAAAAAAAAGGAGAGGUAAUAUUAAAUAAUAAAACAUGUUACAUGUGCUAGGUUAAUAAAUAAAAAAAUUACGCGAUUAAGUAAAUCUAUUCUACCAAUUUUUUUACUAUAGUCAUAGUUUAAAUAGAUAAUCAUUCCACAUGUAGAAAUUUGUCUACUUCUACAUGCUUGUACAAUCUUGUUAUAUCAAAUUAUGCGUAAUAUCACGUGGAGUUAUCAUCAAAAUAUAAUUGAAUUGGAUCUAUCAAUAAUAUCACGUAUAACUUAAAGAGUUUAUUUUUCCUAUUUUUUUCAAUAGAAAAGUCAUUUCAUUGUUCUAAGUUUUUAAAAGCUUAUUUUUAAAAAUAAAAUAAAAUACUUUAGUUAACCAAACAUGAAUUUAAUUAUAUUUUUCCCCAUACCAAACACAAUGUUUAAAGCUCCACUUUUAAGUCUUAUUAAAUUCAUAACAUGGACCACAGUUAACUUAAUUCUUUUGAGAAUGGGCCUAGUCUUGGAUGGGACGUGGACCACAAUUAUAUUCAUAAUAACCCAUAACGAAUUUAAUAAAGAUAUAUUUGAAUAUACGAUACGAAUUCAUGAUAUAAAAUUAGAUGUUAUGAAAUCAAACUAAAUAGAAUUGAUAAUUGACUAGUGUGAGCUUAAUAACUGAGUGAUAAUGCAUGUUAAACAUCUAAACAUAUAUCACAAGAAAAUACAAAUAACUAUUGAAAACUAACAAAGUUGUAAAGCAUGCUAAACAACUAAAUAAUAUCACUUCAUAUCAAGAAACAUGUAGAAAGUGUGAAAUUGUGUAAAAUCAUAGGACCCUCACAAAUCACAAUCAAAUGUUGAUACUUCAAAUUAUUCUUUUUGUUAGUAUCGAUUUGAUUCUUCACUUUAUAAUUCUUUUUUUUCUUCUUAAUUUCUAUAUAUAAUUAUAUAGAUAAUUUAAUAUAGAGAAGUAUUGACAACACUUUUAAAUUAGGCGUAAAUUAUUAGUUAUAUUUCCGAACUAUUGACAACCUUAAAAACAUCCUUUUACUUGACUAACUGAAUUUAAAUACACCCCUAAAUUCUCACCAAAUUUAGGGGUGUUUUCAACACUUCACUCGACUUUUUAUUAUGAGCCAUAUGUCAUAUGAGAGUUUGAUACCACUUGCUAUGUCAUGUGGCAAAUCGUGGAUAUGAUCGAGUAUAUAUCAAAGUUUAGUUAGUCAAGUAGAGGAGUAUUUUUAAGACUGUCAAUAGUUCACGAACGAAACUAAUAAUGACAUAAUACAUAAACAUGAUCAUUAACUUGGCUUCAGCUGACAACUAUGACAUUUAACUUUGGGUGUACACAAAUAGACUUAAACUUGCAAAAAAUUGAAUAAAUAGACACAUUCGUCAUCCAUGUCAAUUUUGUGUCUUACGUGUAUUAUGUCAUGUAUGACAAGUGUGUCUACUUGUUUAAUUUUAUACAAGUUUAAAUGUCGUACACACUCAAAGUUGGAAGGCAUAGUUGUCUGUCGAAGCCAAGUUAAGGGUCAUGUUUAUGUAUUAUGUCAAUAAUAAUUUGCACCAAGUUCAGAAUAUUUUCAAUCCUUCUCUCAUAAAUAUAUUAAUAGAAAAACACAUUCAACUUUAAUUUGGGGGUAAAUACACGAGUUAUUAAAGAAUUUAAUCAAACACAUAGUUUGCAGAAGAAUUAUUGAAUUCAUUUUACUAGUCGAAUAGUAGAAUCACAUAUUUAUGAAAAAGGAACCAUUAUUUAGCGACGUAUCACAAUCCACCAACUCUUGCUCAGAUAGUGAUAUCAAAUCCCCGGUUACUAUUGCGUUUAUUGAUUCAAUGGAAGCAACGGCACAGAAUGCCCAACAACACCCUGGUUCAUUUCAUCGAGUUGGUAGCUGGUUAGAAUUAUGCAAGUAUUAGUAAUGUAGAUAUGUAUUAUUUUAUGCAGGAUUAAUUUCUUCAAAACUUAUAUAUUUAUUAGUCAUGCAAGUUUCAAAAUUGUCAACUAACCAAACAUCAUAUUAAUUUUAUACUAUCAAAUAACUUAUUUCUUAUUUAUCUAUCUAUCAGAUAAUGUUGUAUAAGUUAUACAAAAAGUAAUAUACGUUUACUAAGCAACCAUGCUUUUGCUUUGUUGAUGAGUAGACUUGUUGUACUUUUGCUCUUUGGUGGGCUUUUAUCAAGGAAAUUAUGCUUUUCUUUUCAAAAUUACCAUAAAAUAGAUGGUUGAUUCAAUUCAUAAGGAAAUAGAAGGAUACCAUCUUUCUUGAAAAAAAAAAGAGAAGAUAAAUAACCACUUAUAAACUAAAAUUUGACACUUAAAAGGAGAAAGUAAAAAGAAAAUCGUUAUACGCUAUUAUUAUCCAAUAAAUUCAUUGCAACACCACAAACAAUGAGUCUUCUAUCUCGCUUACCUACCCGACAAAUAGAUCCCUAGGAACCUCCAAAAGAACUGUUGUUCGAUGUGUACACAAAAGUGAUCAAAAGAAUGAAGGAUCACUAGAGUGGAAAGCAAUAUAAAUUGGUUCUAUACGAUAUUUUCUAUCUUUGUAAUGAGAAUAUUUUUUUGAAAUAGACAAAAAAAAUAAAAAAUAGAACAAACAUAUUGAAACGAUGAAAAUACAUAAACAUAAUCUCAAAAUAUCGAUGUCAUCCUUUGAACCAAGCAACUUGUAAACAUGAGAUACGGGUCCCAUUCAUCCAAAAUAAGUUUUUGAGCCGUUUAUCACGUUGGAUUUGUCAGUCCAUUAAGAAAAAAUAAUGAAACUAGACAAAAUUAACAAUUUAUUUAUGAAAAAUAAUUUUAAAAAUAUUCUAAAAAAAAGUAAUAUGUUGUUUUUAUAAUAAACUUUUUCCCUCUCUUGCCCUCUCCUCUCUCUCUGUACCCUUCCCCUCUCUUCCUUCAAUUGUAUUUGUAUUUGUAAGAAUAUAAUACUCUUUCAUCAUCUCUGUCAAAUGUAUUUGUAUUCAAUCAAAAAGAGGAUGAACAUAGUUGUCUUUGUUGUAUUAAAAGGAAAAUGAUCAACUAAUAUGGAAAGGAGGUUUUACAAUCACAUUUUAGUGAUGCAUAAUCACGAAGAAGGCACCAAUACCAGAAAAUGGUAUAUACUGAAUUGCCUAGAGCAAUAUAUGACAGUAAAAGUGUGUUCGAUCCAAAGAAUAAUAUUUUUCAUGAAAAAUGCUUCUUUUUUUUAAAUAAGUGAAUUGACUUUUUUUUAUGUGUGUGUUCGAUAUGUAUGUAAAAAAAAGUUAAACUAAAAUUAUUUAUAUAUAAUCAUAAUAAAUACUAUGAGAGGUAGAGGUUGAGUAGUGAAGGCAUGAUGUCGUAGGUAUGGGGCUACGGGAAGUGGAGGGGAAUGAAGGACAUAAUCUACUUGGCAUGUCAUUUGUAGAACUUCUUUUCUCUACUUAGAUUGACAAUAUUAUUUUACUCAUUUUUAAAGCAAUUUAAUUUCCUAAAAAAAAUAUUAGAAUAAUAAAGCUAAUAUAUGGAGGUAUAUCUCUAAAUUAUCUCUUAAUUAAUAUAUUUAUUUUAUUAAAUUAUAUAAUCAUAAUAAAUUGAAUUAAUUUGAUAAAUUAAUGUUUUCAUAAAUCACAUCAUCAUAAUAAAUUGAAUUAAUUUGACAUAAAUUGAGGAUGAAUAAAUUUUAUAUUAUUUUUUUGAAUAAAUAUUUGAAUUAAUGUUGGAUUAUCAAAAUUCAAAUCCAACUAGGAUUACAUCUUACAAUUACAAACUUAAAAAACCCUUUUAUUUUCCUCUUUGCCUAUUCUUAAUUUCAUCGUUCAAAAUUUUCAGAGAAAGCAAAAAAGGGGGCAAAAAUGUCUGACGGAAUCGCACGUGGUCGUCUUGCUGAGGAGCGCAAAUCAUGGCGGAAGAAUCAUCCACAUGUACUCUCUCUGCCCUUUUUGAUUAUUAUUAUUUUUGCGCUAAAAGUACUUUUUUGUUUGCUUUAUCAAUGCACAUUAAUGGAUUUUAAGAGUCUGUUGAUUUGAUGGUUCGAUGGGUAUCUUCUCUGUUUUCUUUAGGGUUUUGUGGCUAGGCCGGAAACUGGUGCAGAUGGGUCUGUCAAUUUGAUGGUGUGGAAUUGUUCUAUCCCUGGAAAAGCCAAGGUGAAUAAAGUUUCUUGCUUUUCAUGACUAAUUUCAAGUUUUGUAAUUUUUGUAUGGAUGACUUAUUAGUAGUGAAAUUGGGGAAGUUAGAAUAUAUAUAUAUGUACGAAUUAAUCAUGAUAAUUAAUAAAAGAGUGUCCGCUUGUGUGAGGUCGCUCACAUUGUUUGUUCCGAGUAGGGGUGACAAAAUCAAACCCAACCCGUCUAACUUAUCCAAUCCGUUUAAGUUUGGACGGGUUAUUGACCUGCUCAUUCAUUACCUCAACCCAUUAAUUGAUAUGUAAGUCGAAUUGGCUCAGGAGAAAUCUUGUCAAAAUAAUUUUUAAAAACUUUUUUUUCAAUUUGGUAUGUUAUAUAUAGUCAAAAUAAAGAAAAAAUAAUUUUAUUAGAUACUAAAGUAAUUUAAAAGAACAAAUAAAACAAUUAAGCUUAGUAAAAAUUGGGAUUGAGUUGGGUUUUGACCUGUUAUAUAACACAUUAACUAACCCGUUUUGAUCCAAGCAAAUUUGGGUUGAGUUGAGUUUUGACCCAAUUAUUGUCUUCAUCCAUUAUGACUUGCCCAAAUUUGACUCAAUCCGCCCAGUUGCCACCACUAGUUCCAAGUCUAGAUAGAGGAGUAGGGUUGAGGUAGCUUGGUAGCUAUAGUGAAACUUGUCAAUUUAUGAUGAAUUUUCAUAAUUGAUAAAAGCCUAUAAAACAUAUGUAUAUUCAGUGGUUUGGUGCAAAUUCCUCGUUCGUAAAUGGAAUUUUUGGGCUAGAAUUUGUCUACUUCUUUUAGCAACUUAUUGUUGAUCGUUUUUCCUUGCUUUGGUGUUGAAAAUUAGUGGUUUUGUGCUGUAAUUAACUUUAAUUCGUAGGUUCAUGAGGGUGUUUAUUGAUUCUAUGUUAUGAGAACUGUGAAGAAAAGAUUGUGCAAUCUAAUUAAUAUUUAGACACAUCAAUUUGGAUAUUUACGCGGCAAUUAUAGAAAGUAUUCUAUUAGAUUAGUCGUGACUUGAGAAAUUACACUUUAUGUUUGAAAUAACAACAUACCCAAUGUGACCAAUAAGUGGGGUUUGGGGGUAGAGUAGAGUGCGCUUAGGUCCUUGUGUUAGGUAGAGAACUUGUUUCCGAUAGACUACAAUCAGGUAUCCGUGUCUCUCUUUGAUACAAAAACCAUUGAAGGUGUUCACAAAAUUCAUCUUACUGAAUUAUUCACAGAGUUUGUAGUCGUCAGUUAUGGACCUUAAAGCAAUUUGUGUUGCAUUUUGAGAGUCACUCAAGUCCUUGAACUCUGUCGCAAUUUUCUAAACAAAGAAAGUUAUAACCUUACAGCGUUGUAAGGUAAGCAUGACUCCCUGGAUUUAAUAUAUGGAGUAAGAAGAAUAUGAUCUUCGCGAGGAUGUAAAAGUCCAUUUUCUUAAAGUACCAUAAGGUUUGAACUUUAAUUGCUUUGGUGUGUAUAUAAAUUGCAUAAAAAUGACAGAAUGUUUUGUUGAAAUGCUUUUAGUUUCAUAGGUUAGUUGCGUAAAUAAUCAUGGGAUAUUCUUUCCACAUUUCAUGCGAAAGGAUGUUUUGUUGAAAUGGUUUGAGUUUCUGAAUGAUGCUCUAAUAAGCGUUGUACACUUUUGGAAAGUUUUAUUACAUUUAAUCCUUUACGGUUUGAUGUGAAACAUAUUCUGGCUUCUGCAAGUCUUUACGGUGUUGAAACUCUGCUUUCCCCUUCCCUCAGUUCUUCCUCUAAUAUUUGUCAGCAAUAGUGAUAUGAUAUUUUAACUGGUAUGGUACAGACUGACUGGGAAGGUGGCUUCUAUCCAAUAACAAUGAACUUCAGCGAAGACUUUCCUAGCAAACCACCCAAAUGCAAGUUUCCUCAAGGUUUCUUUCAUCCUAAUGUCUAUCCAUCGGGAACAAUAUGUUUGUCUAUUCUCAAUGAGGACAGUGUAAGUUCUUGUCGUUGUUAUUUUGUUACUUUGUUAGUAUUGUCAAUUGUUAUAUCGGUUUCAAGAUGACUCUUAUGAUUAUUCCGUUGGUUAUAUUCUUGUUUAGGGGUGGAGGCCUGCCAUUACAGUUAAACAAAUUUUGGUGGGUAUCCAAGAUUUGCUUGUUCAGCCAAACCCCAGUGAUCCAGCACAAACAGAAGGUUUUCAGCUAUACAUGCAGGUAGCUACUCGAGCUUGAUGUGUACUUCAUUGAACUUUUUCAGGAAAAAAAUUAAGUUUGCAUUUUGAUUUUGAUUUUAACUUGUCGUUACUAUAUGUGACCUUGCUUUUGCAGGAUGGUGCUGAGUACAAGAAACGAGUGAGACAGCAGGCCAAGCAGUAUCCAGCUCUUGUCUAACAUUAGUUAGUUAUGAAUUAUACAAUUAUGCGACAUUGUUAGUCCUCAUUGACAUGGUGGCCGUUUGGCUAAUUUGGUGCUUAUCUUCUUUAUGAUUGAACAAUGAAUAUAGUCAGUGUGCAACAUGCAUGCUAUCUGUUAUUUUGACAAUGUGAUUAAUCUAUUGAUUAUAUUUUAUUAUCUCGUUUAUCUUGUCUUGUGAUACAUUAUACAAGCAAGGUUAACGUCCUUGAUGCUUAUUGUAGGAAGGUUAAGGAGUGCUUAGUGCAUUGAAUUUUCAAUUACACUUCCAAGGUGCCAAAAACAUGGCAUUUGAGCUCCUCUAUUAGUGCAGUUAGAUGAUUAUAAGAAGAGCCUCCUUUUUCCACAGCCCUCUUAAUCAUUGUUUCGACAUCUUUUGCUCUGCUUCUGAUCUUUUCACUUUCCUUGGAGGUGUUCAUCAACAUUUUCACACUCGCCUCUAUCUUCUCCUUGUUGACAAUUGUAUCCGUGAUGUCAAAAGUACUGUGGCACACCUCUGCCCCAACUCUAACCCCACAUCCAAGAACCUCCACCAGCUUCUCAUUGUAGAACUGCUCCGCGAAUAAGGGCCAUGUCAGCAUUGGCACUCCGACUGUAAGAGAUUCCAGGGUGGAGUUCCAGCCACAAUGAGUCAUGAACGCUCCAGUUGCUGGAUGGUUCAAGAUCUUCAGCUGUGGCACCCAUCCUCUGACUAUCAAACCUUUCUUGUUUGUAAGCAUUUUUUCCUUAAAGCUAGUAGGCAUCCAGCUUUCUUGCUCAUUUUCUUGGGGUUUGUCUCCCUUCUUUACCACCCAAAGAAACGAUGAAUUCGAGGCCUCAAGAGCCAAGGCAAUUUCAUAGAGCUGAGCAUCAGAAAACCUGCCCAUACUUCCGAAACAAAUGUACACAACAGAGCUUGGUUCUUGAGAAUCAAGCCAACUUAGGCAGCUGUGUCGCUCUUGAACUGAAGUGUUCCUUGAAUUGCUUGCUUCUUCUCUCUUUGAAAAGUGAAACAAAGGACCAAUCAACCAUGGUUUUUUACCUUUGAUUUCCUUGUAAAGCUCAGCGUAAGUAGACUCCAGGUCAUAGAUAGUGUCAUGAAUCACGGCAUAGCUUCGAGGUUCUGAUUCUUUAAUUCUCUUCAUCAUUUCCCAGUAUGGUCCUUCAGGUUUGGUUUUAAUACCCUCUGGCAAUUGAGAUCUUUUCAUUUCAAUCUGAUCUGGUAAACCUGGAAUCAAGAAACUUUCUGAAUCCGAACUUACCUUCUCAUGAGGCGUAUGCACGUUCAAACAAUGUUCAACACAGUGGUACAUAAGAUUAUGUGGAUAAAAUGUAACUCUAGGUAUCUUCAGUUGCUCAGCUACGUCCACCGUCCAUGUAAGGCACACAUCUGAAAUAAUGCAAUGAGGACGAAGCUCAACAAUAAGAUCUUCGAUUGGUUUCUGAAGCAAAGCAAUUCCCAUAAAUAACAUAGCCAUUUCUGAGGCAGUGACUGCAGUGAAGUUUUCGAUCCCUUCUGGUAAGCCUACUUCAUCAGAUGGGAACUUGAGUUUGUGGAUGAAGAUCUGGUUGCCAGAAUCCUUGAUAGAGGACUCGAAAAGGAGGGCAUUAUAGUGUGUGGUUAUAAUGGUAACUUUGACUCCAUGGCUAGCAAAAAGUCUAGCUAUAUCAACUAAGGGGAUCAUAUGACUUGGUGUAAAGUAUGGAACAAAAACUACAUGGAGUUCACUAUUUUCUUGUGCCAUUAGUGCUUACCUAAGAAUGGGAGAAGUAGAGUGAGAAACAACUGAAAAUGUUACUAACCUUACAUUAGAUUCAGACAUAACAUAGAUAGCCUAAAAAAUCAUGUUUUGUUUUUAUAGAUCAUGAGAAAAACAUUAAAAUGCACGGUAUGUUUCUUUAACAAAUCUUAUUUUGGACUAGUUGUUAUGUUCAAUCAAUACAUUGAAUGGUUCUCCUGUGUUAUCUUUCUGCAGAAAAGUUAUGAAAGGGAGAUGUGGGCCUCAAAAUACUAUUUCCUCUGUUUCAAUUUAUGUGAUGUUGUUUGAUUUGAUACAAAGUUUAAAAAAGUAAAUGUGUAAUAGAUGUUUGUGUGGUCGUAAAUCACCCCAAUUGUUACUAAAUAUAGAAAUGUGUCAUUCUUGUUGGGACUGACUAAAAGGAAAAGUGUGUCUAAAUUGGGACAGAAUGAACAUGUGGUCCUACAAAGUGAGGUAGGGAUCGAACGUUUAAAGUGAGUAGUUGAAAUAAUGUUGCUUUUCAUGAGUAAAUUAAGAAACACAAAUUCAAUCACUCUGUAGUAGGUGUAGCAUGAGUACCAAAAACAAUGUGUACUGCAGAGUGGUAAGCGUUACUGAAUAGAUAACAUUACCUUUACUUGUACACUUAUGCCGUUGUCAUAGUUUAAGCACAAAAAUAUCACAGCUCUUGUUUGAUAUUUGUGCCUUCCGAACUAUAUAAUUAUGCAGCACUGCAUAGUGGCCUGUGGCUAAUUUGGUGUGCACUUCUUUAUGUUUUGACGAUGAAUACAGUCUCUGUGUGUGACAUGCAUACUGUCAUUUUUUCAGCGCGGUUGGUCCAUUAAUUAUUUCAGUUUUUACUCGCGGUGUUCUUUUGUGCUAACAAUCUUUCAGUUGCUGAUUGUAGAAUGCACCUGGACAAAACAUGAUAAACUUCUCAUUUGAUAAGUGAGUUUUCUUCAUGUAUUAUCACAUAUUUUGCUGUCUUAAAAAUGUAAAGAAAUAUAGCAACUAUAUCCCUUAUUAAAUGCAACUCAUUUGUUAAUAGCUAUAUUUGAGAUAAGGGAAAUCAUUGUUUACAGAUUCACCUAGUUUCAUUUUCUUAUUUGGUGGAUCCCUUGUUUGAAACACUCUUUAAGAGUUUUUUGUCUAUAAAAGAUUGCUUGAAACAACAACGACGACAUACCCAGUGUAGUCCCAUAAGUGGAGACUGAGGAAAAGAUUGCUUGAAACAUAACAUGUUAUUUCCUUUUUUUCCUGUUCUUCUGUCAUGUAAUGCACGAGGAGGCGUGGUGCUUAUUGUAGGAAAAAUAAGGAGAGCUCAAUGCAUUAAGUUUUCAGUUACUCUUUCGAGGUGCCAAAAACGUGGCACCUGAGCUCCUCUAUUAAUGCCGUUAGAUGAUUAUAAGAAGAACCUCCUUUCUCCACAGCCCUGUUAAUCAUUGCUUCGACGUCUUUUGCUCUACUUUUGAUCAUUUCACUUUCCCCGGAGGUGUUCAUCAACGUCUUCAAACUCACCUCUAUCUUCUCUUUAUUGACAAUCGUAUCCUUGAUGUCAAAAGUACUGUGCCACACCUCUGCCCCAAUCCUGACUCCACAUCCAAGAACCUCCACCAGCUUCUCAUUGUAGAACUGCUCCGCGAACAAUGGCCAUGUCAGCAUUGGCACCCCGGCUGUGAGAGAUUCCAGGGUGGAGUUCCAGCCACAGUGAGUCAUGAACACUCCGGUUGCUGGAUGGUUCAAGAUCUUCAGCUGUGGCACCCAUCCUCUGACUAUCAAAACUUUGCUGUUUGUAAGCAUCUUUUCCUUGAAGCUAGUAGGCAUCCAGCUUUCUUGGGGUUCAUCUCCCUUCCUUACCACCCAAAGAAACGAUGAAUUCGAGGCCUCAAGAGCCAAGGCGAUUUCAGUAAGCUGAGCAUCAGAGAACCUCCCCAUACUUCCGAAACAAAUGUACACAACAGAGUUUGGUUCUUGAGAAUCAAGCCAACUCAAGCAGCUGUGUCGUUCUUGAUGUUGAGUAUUUCUUGAAUUGUCUGCCUCUUCCCUCUUUGAAAAAUGAAACAAAGGACCAAUAAGCCACGGCUUUUUACCUUUGAUUUCUUGAUAAAGCUUAGCAUAACUCGGCUCUAGAUCAUAGAUAGUGUCGUGAAUCAUAGCGUAGCUCCGAGGUUCUGAUUCUUUAAUUCUCCUCAUCAGCUCCCAAUAUGGUCCUUCAGAUUUAGUUAUAAUAUUCUCUGGCAAUUGAGAUCUUUUCAUUUCUAUCUGAUCUGGUAAACCCGGAAUCAAGAAACUUUCUGAAUCCGAACUUACCUUCUCAUGAGGUGCAUACAAUUUCAAACAAUGUUCAACACAGUGGUACAUAACAUUAGUCGGAUAAAACAUAAGUCUAGGUAUCUUCAGUUGCUCUGCCACAUCCACAGUCCAUGGGAAAAACAUGUCUGAAACAAUGCAAUGAGGACGAAGCUCGAAAAUAAGACUUUCCAUUGGUUUUUGAAGCAGAGGAAUUCCCAUAAACACACUUAUAGCCAUUUCUUGGCUAGUGGCAGCACUGAAGUUUUCGAUCCCUUCUGGUAUGCCUACUUCAGCUGAUGGGAAUUUGAGUUUGUAGACGAAUAUUUUGUGGCCUAAUUCAGUAGCAUGAUCGAUUGAGGACUCGAAAAGGAGGGCGUUGUAGGUGGUGGUGAUGAUACUAACUUUGACACCAUGACUAGCAAAAAGUCUAGCAAUAUCAACUAAAGGGAUCAUAUGACUUGGUGUGAAAUAUGGAAUGAAAACUACAUGGAGUAGUUCACCAUUUUUUUGUGCCAUGACCUUACUUGAAGAAGGGAUGGAAAUUCACUUAACAACUUAAAAUGUUACUAACUUAAUAUUAGAUUCAGACAUAUUACAGAUAGCCUAAAAAAGUCAUGAAAAAGCCAUUAAAAUACUAAGUAUGUUUCUUCAAGGAAUCUUAUCUUGGAUUAUUAUUAUAUUCAAUCAGUACACUGAGUGGUACUCCCUAUGUUAUCUUUCUGCAGAGCAGUUGAAAGCAAGUAAGGGUGUGCAUUGAUCGGUUCGGUUCGGUUUAGUUUUAAUGUAUUAUUGGUUUGGUUUAUUGAUUUUGGUUUUUAAAUAUGUUAAACCAAUAAGAUAUUUUUUAUUGAUUUCAAUUUAUCGAUUUUGGUCCUUAACGGUUCGGUUUUUAGUUUAAUCAAUAAGAAAAUGCUUAUAAAACAAAUAUUAUGACUUCUCCAACGUCAAUUUGACGUGACAAGACAAUAAUGUAACUUUAUAGAACGCUCAUAAGAUAGAAACAAUAAUAACUAACAUGAAAAGAACUAUACAAGUGCAACACAAAGAGAAAUUAAGAGGAAUAGAGUUCUUACUUUAGGUUUUGACAUUUUGUAUAAUGUGAAAUUGUGAACUCAAAGUUAGUCUGAAGUGUGAAUUGAAGGCUAAAGGACAAAGAUAGUAACCAAUACUGAGAUAAAUAGUUAAUAGUGUUGCUUGUCAUGAGCAUUAUUUCAGUUUUUACUUGUGAUUCAUAAGACAAAAGCAAUAAAAUCACUCAACUUAGCACAUUCCCUUAUAAAAUUGUUCAACUACGUAGAUUAUAAAAAGCCUGACAUGACAAAAUAUAUUAUUUUUCAUGUCAGGGAAACAUGGACUCCAUUAGAGCUAGGCCUGAAUGCUAAAAUUAGAAAUAUCGGAUCGAACCGAAUUAAUUCGAUUCUUUGGUUCUUCGGUUGGGAAUGAUUUUUUUUUUCAAAAGCUCGGUUAAUCGGUUUAAGAGUUCCAGUUCUUCAAUGUGUCAAUUUUAUUCCCAGCUCUAUAGUUAUACAGGUUCACAUAGCUUCAUUUUCUUAUUUGGUAGAUCCCUUAUUUGAAAGUUGAAACACUCUUUAAGAGUUUUUUGUCUAUAAAAAGAUUGCUUGAAACAACAACAUACUCAGUGUAGUUCCACAAGUGAUGUCCGGGGAAAAGAUUGCUUGAAACAUAACAUGUUAUUUCGUUUUACCUUUUCUUGUGUUAUGUAAUGCACGCGAGGCAUGAUGCUAUUUUAGGAAAAAUAAGUAGAGCUCAGAAUGUUAAAUUUCUUACUACUCUUCUGAUAUGCCAAAAGCAUGACACUUGAUCUCCUGUAUUAAUGUUGUUAGAUGAUUAUAAGAAGAACCUCCUUUCUCCACAGCCCUGUUAAUCAUUGCUUCGACGUCUUUUGCUCUACUUUUGAUCAUUUCACUUUCCCCGGAGGUGUUCAUCAACGUCUUCAAACUCGCCUCUAUCUUCUCUUUAUUGACAAUCGUAUCCUUGAUGUCAAAAGUACUGUGCCACACCUCUGCCCCGACCCUGACUCCACAUCCAAGAACCUCCACCAGCUUCUCAUUGUAGAACUGCUCCGCGAACAAUGGCCAUGUCAGCAUUGGCACUCCGGCUGUAAGAGAUUCCAGGGUGGAAUUCCAGCCACAAUGAGUCAUGAACACCCCGGUUGCUGGAUGGUUCAAGAUCUUCAGCUGUGGCACCCAUCCUCUGACUAUCAAACCUUUCUUGUUUGUAAGCAUUUUUUCCUUGAAGCUAGAAGGCAUCCAGUUUUCUUGCCCGUUUACUUGGGGUUCGUCUCCCUUCCUUACCACCCAAAGAAACGAUGAAUUCGAUGCCUCAAGAGCCAAGGCAAUUUCAGUAAGCUGAGCAUCAGAGAACCUCCCCAUACUUCCGAAACAAAUGUACACAACAGAGUUUGGUUCUUGAGAAUCAAGCCAACUCAAGCAGCUGUGUCGUUCUUGAUGUUGAGUAUUUCUUGAAUUGUCUGCCUCUUCCCUCUUUGAAAAAUGAAACAAAGGACCAAUAAGCCACGGCUUUUUACCUUUGAUUUCUUGAUAAAGCUUAGCAUAACUCGGCUCUAGAUCAUAGAUAGUGUCGUGAAUCAUAGCGUAGCUCCGAGGUUCUGAUUCUUUAAUUCUCCUCAUCAGCUCCCAAUAUGGUCCUUCAGAUUUAGUUAUAAUAUUCUCUGGCAAUUGAGAUCUUUUCAUUUCUAUCUGAUCUGGUAAACCCGGAAUCAAGAAACUUUCUGAAUCCGAACUUACCUUCUCAUGAGGUGCAUACAAUUUCAAACAAUGUUCAACACAGUGGUACAUAACAUUAGUCGGAUAAAACAUAAGUCUAGGUAUCUUCAGUUGCUCUGCCACAUCCACAGUCCAUGGGAAAAACAUGUCUGAAACAAUGCAAUGAGGACGAAGCUCGAAAAUAAGACUUUCCAUUGGUUUUUGAAGCAGAGGAAUUCCCAUAAACACACUUAUAGCCAUUUCUUGGCUAGUGGCAUACACCUAUAGCCAUUUCUUUGCUAGUGACUGCACUGAAGUUUUCGAUCCCUUCUGGUAUGCCUACUUCAGCUGAUGGGAAUUUGAGUUUGUGGACGAAUAUUUCGUGGCCUAAUUCAGUAGCAUGAUCGAUUGAGGACUCGAAAAGGAGGGCGUUGUAGGGGGUGGUGAUGAUGCUAACUUUCACGCCAUGGCUAGCAAAAAGUCUAGCUAUAUCAACUAAAGGGAUCAUAUGACUUGGUGUGAAGUAUGGAAUGAAAACUACAUGAAGUAUUUCACCAUUUUUUUGUGCCAUGACUGAACUUGAAGAAGGGAUGGGAACUCACUAAACAAUGGUAAGAAGUAGGGUGAGAAACAACGAAAAAUGUUACUAACCUAAUAUUAGAUUCAAACAUAUCACAGAUAGCCUAAAAAAGUCAUGGAAAAACAUUAAAAUACAAUGUAUGUUUCUUCAAGGAAUCUUAUUUUGGAUUAGUUUUUCUAUUCAAUCAAUACAUUGAGUGGUUCUCCAUGUGUUAUCUUUUUGCAGAGCAGUUGAAAGGGAGAUGUGGGCCGCAAACUACUUAGUACUACUCCCUCCGUUUUAAUUUAUGUGAUGUUUGGCUUGGCACGACGUUUAAGUAAGAAAGAAAGACUUUUGAAACGAUUGUCCCAUUAGGAUGAAAUGAACAUUUUAAAGUAAACUACUAGUUAUUAAAUAUACAAAAUGUGUCGUUCUUUUUUAGAUCGACUAAAAAGUAAAAUGUGACAGGUAAUAUGUGGUCCUACAAAGUACAAAAAUCAAUGUGUACCCCAAUAAGUAUCAUAGACAGCUCCCAAUGUUACUGUUGAGAAACUUCCCCAAAAACCGAAAACUUUCAUUAAAGGUGUGUUCCGUAGGAAAAUGUUUUUCAUGGAAAAUAUUUUCUAAUAAAACUAUUUCUAGAAAAACAAGUGGUUUCUUACUUAUUUUCCUCUGUUUGAUAUGCAAGGAAAAAAUAUUAUUCUAAAAGCAUUUCUAUAUAUAUGACAAAAUUAUGAGAAUAGAAUGACAGAGGGGAGGGUAGGGGGUGUGGGGGUGCAGGUGGAGUGGGAACGAGGGGCGGGGUUUGGGGUUGGUGGUGGAAACCAGUCUUGUCAGCUGAUUGAUAAUUUGUUUAUAGAAGGCAUUAAUGGCCAUAACAUGUUAUUUCGUUUUCCCUUUUCUUUUGUCUUGUAAUACAUGCGAAUUCAUCAUACAUAUUUUUACAUGUUGAUUUCUUGGAUAGUCACUCAAGUAAUAGUAUUAUCAAGUCAUUUUCUUUGUUGAGGAAAAUUAAAAUCAAGAAGAAAGAUGCCUUUUUGAGAUAAUAACUAGUAUUAGCUGAGUGUCCGUAUGAGAAAUCAACCCCAUAUUUUAGGGAAAAUGAGCGAAGCUCGGGACAUUAGAUUUCUUAUUACUCUUCUGAUAUGCCAAAAGCAUGAGACUUCAUCUCCUGUAUUAAUGCAGUUAGAUGAUUAUAAGAUGAACCUCCUUCCUCCACAGCCCUCUUAAUCAUUGCUUCGACGUCUUUUCCUCUACUUCUGAUCUUUCCACUUUCCCUAGAGGCGUUCAUCAACAUUUUCACACUCGCCUCUAUCUUCUCCUUCUUCACAAUCGUAUCCGUGAUGUCAAAUGAAAUAUGCCACACCUCUGCCCCGACCCUGACUCCACAUCCAAGUACCUCCACCAGUUUCUCAUUGUAGAACUGCUCCGCAAACAAUGGCCAUGUCAGCAUUGGCACUCCGGAUGUAAGAGACUCCAAAGUGGAAUUCCAGCCACAGUGAGUCAUGAACGCUCCGGUUGCUGGAUGGUUCAAGAUCUUCAGCUGUGGCACCCAUCCUCUAACUAUCAAACCUUUCUUGUUUGCAAACAUAUUUUCCUCAAACCCAAUUGGGAGCCAACUUUCAUAUGUGUUAUCUCCCUUUCUUACCACCCAAAGAAAGGUCGAAUUCGAGGCCUCAAGAGCUAAGGCAAUUUCAGUAAGCUGAGGAUCCGAAAACCUUCCCAUACUUCCAAAACAAAUGUACACAACAGAGUUUGAUUCUUGAGAAUCAAGCCAACUCAAGCAGCUAUGUCGCUCUUGAUCUGGACUACUUCUCGAAUUGUUUCUCUUUGAAAAAUGAAACGAAGGUCCAAUAAGCCACGGCUUUUUACCUUUGAUUUUUCGAUAAAGCUCAGCAUAACUCGGUUCUAGAUCAUAGAUAGUGUCAUGAAUCAUACCAUAGCUCCGCGGUUCUGAUUCUUUAAUUCUCUUCAACAACUCCCAAUAUGGUCCUUCAGGGUUGUUUUUCACAUCUUCGGGUAGUUGAGAUCUUUUCAUUUCAAUCUCAUCUGGUAAUCCCGGAACCUUAAAACAUUCUGAAUCCGAACUUACCUUCUCAUGAGGUGUAUACAACUUCAAACAAUGUUCAACACAAUGGUACAUAACAUUAGUCGGAUAAAACGUAAGUCUAGGAAUCUUCAGUUGCUCUGCUACAUCCACAGUCCAUGGGAAAAACAUGUCUGAUACAAUGCAAUGAGGACGUAGCUCGAAAAUAAGACUUUCCAUUGGUUUUUGAAGCAAAGC